UUUUAGAGAAAAUAGUCUUUAGCGCAAAGAAUGAAAUAGUUUUCAAAGUCCCAUCUUUGUCUGUUAAUCGAAAGAGAAAAGAGAGAAGUAAUACCCUCACCUUAAUAUCGCGGAUAACGUUACAAACACUCCCGUUUUAUACAAAUACCCUUUCUAAGGAGCUAACAGUCAGUCCGUUAAGACCAACCUUUUUUAUCCUAGCAUGUUUAACGCCCCCCUGCUCCAUUUCUGAAACAGGGGGAACAAAGUGGCUUCAUUGAAGGCCUUACCCAUACACCUCUGCCCAACAAUCUUAUCCACCUCAAUCUCUCAACCGUUAAUGACC
rnacentral:lncRNA from 1 species